AAUGUCGAGGAUUGUCAGAUCUUCUCCAACGAAGGAGACUAAACUUUAAAGUUCCAAAUGUCGAGGAUUUUCGGAUCUUCUCCAGCGAAGGAGACUAAUCUCAGAAGUUCUAAAUGUCGAGAGUUUUCGGAUCUUCUCCAGCGAAGGAGUUCUUCUUUUGAAAUUCUAGCUAAUAUACAUAAUGAUUAAAACCAACCCAUAGACCAUGAACUAGCAAAUCCAAAAGCGGUUAUAAGCAGAUAUCACAUGCAUCAAGGAAUCUAACCACAAGUCGUGCAACAAAAUCCAUACGUCCAGGGUGAAAAAGUGCAGAAAAGGCAGUAAUGGGAGCGGGUUAGCUGGCAUCAAUGAGGGACUCAUACAAAAUUUGGGAGUUAUUCCGAUGCAGAGCACAAUCAAACAAAAUAUGUUCAAGAUCUCCCACCUCUCCACAAGCACACAGACAGCUGCAGUUUGUGGAACCAUGGAACUGUUGGAGGUGUCUUAUAAGCUGCACUAUAAAGUCUGCCCUUUGAACGGCCCCACUCUCUCCACUUGAUGGCCCAGAUGUGCCACAUCUUUGCUCUAAUUAUCGGGAUAAAUUCACUAAAAGGGGGCCUUAAAUGCAGCGGGUCUAAAAGUCUAGCUUCUGAGGCUAUUCUAUCCACCGUUUCAUUAUGUCUUAUCCCCCAAUGGCUUGGAAUCCAGCAUAACGAUAUUUUCCCCCCAAGUCUGCGCUUCAAAAUAUCAAUCUUUGCUUUAAUAUCUAGUAGAAUGUAGCUGUUGGAAGCUUCAACCGCACUGCAUCCGAAGCUCUGCGGGGCACUUUUGGAAUCGGAGACAAUUACUGCCUGUUUAAUAUUAUAAUCUAAUAUAAGAUCUAGGCUACCAUUUCUGCAGAGCAAAUACAACCCAUGCCCGACCCUAACAUUGAGAGACGGAAUAAAUACUCCAAAGCCAACUCUAUCAUCUGGUCCCUUAGAAGCAUCGGUAAAUAUAAAUGUCUCUUCCCCGGUCCACAUUUUAAAACAAAAUUCCCGAAACUCAGUUUCAUUUAGACCCACCCCUUUCUCAAUUUUGGAAUCAACAAAAUUAAUAGGCGUAAGCUGAGGGGCCAGGUCCUUAUUAAAACACGCUAGAACGUCUCCACUAUCGAUAAUAUUAUGAUAUGUGGCGGUGUAGUCAAAUGCCUCAACUAAGGGUAAUUUCGCCUUCCUUCUAAAAAGUUAUGAUUUUCUUGAUAGGCAAUAUAUAGCCGUUGGGUAGCUAAGAAACUAGGAUUAUUUCUGAUUCUAAGGGACUUGACUAAAAACUUAGAAGCCAACAUAAUCCUCCUCACCUCCAAACUUGUUUCACAAGCCUCUCCCAAUAAAAUAUUAAUUGGAGUUGAUUUCAUCAUACCCAAUGUCACUCUUAAAGCCUGAUAUUGAAUCCUAUCCAGACCAGACAGGGUUUUUUUCCCACAGCACCCCAGUACCAUAGAACCAUAAUCAAGAUGGGAACGCACAAAAGCUUUAUAAAAUAUCAAAAGAGUAGACGGAUGGGCUCCCCACCAUGUCCUGGAUAGAAAUCUCAUAAUAUUAAUUCCACUAGCUGCCUUGUGAAUCAUCCUGCCAACCUGGGGAACCCACGGAAUAUUUACACUAUUAAUUACCAAGUCGGGAAGUCCAACCAAAGCAGAUCUAGAGAAUAAAAUAGCAGACGACUUUUGCGGACUAAGCUGCAAGUUAAACCUAUGCAUCCAAUCAGCCACUGCUACCAAGGCUUUAUUCAUCAAGCCUAUAGCAAAGAGGACAUUGACAUCGCUACAAAAAAGGACAAUAUCAUCCGCAUACUCGAUAAUAGAAACCCUAUGAGGAAUUACUAACUUAAUUGAAUUUACGUAUAUAUUGAAUAAAAGAGUCGCUAAGGGAGAUCCCUGAGGGACCCCCUUACUGGUUGAUCUAGGUCCGACCAAAAGUUGCCCAACAGACGUUACUUCAAUUCAAUUCAAUUAUACGUAUCACAAAAAAUGUUGGGCUAGAUUGCUAGGAUCAUUCGCCCAUUGCCGAUUUCCGUCGAGGAUCUUCGCUUUUGGAAGUGGACCAACACGUACAAAGAAGAAAUAUAACCAAAUUUUGCUCAGCUAGCAAAAACCGAUAUUGACCGAUACCAAAAAAAAAAUCGGUUUCCCCCCCGCUUCCAACACGGACCAUCCGAGCCCAUCCGGCCUCCAUACCAGCGUGAACACUAAAUCCACACAGUGGAAACACGUUACUUUUCCAUAGGACUAAAUCUAUUCUUUUCUUCUUCGAUUUUCACUUAUUCGGCUAA